AAGAGAAGGGACUGUCUAGUUAGCCAAAGAGACUGCCUGAAACCGGGCCUGGACCUUGAAGGCACCCCGGCUCCCAGUAUUCAUGAACUUACACCGGAGCAGGCAAGUCAUCCUUGGCUACCAAACAAGACUCUUAUCU
rfam:Punica granatum cultivar Dabenzi scaffold158, whole genome shotgun sequence.